GACUGCUGGAGCGCUUAGAAGUGAGAAUGCCGGUAUGAGUAGCGAAAGACAGGUGAGAAUCCUGUCCACCGAAUGACUAAGGUUUCCUGGGGAAGGCUCGUCCGCCCAGGGUUAGUCGGGACCUAAGCCGAGGCCGACAGGCGUAGGCGAUGGACAACAGGUUGAUAUUCCUGUACCCGUUGUUUUUGUUUGAGCAAUGGAGGGACGCAGGAGGCUAAGAAGUGCAGACUGAUGGAUAUGUCUGUUCAAGCAGUAAGUCUUGGUAGGAGUCAAAUGCUUCUACCUAUACGGACAAGCUGUGAUGAGGAGGGAAAUAAUAGUACCGAAGCUUCUGAUGUCACACUGCCAAGAAAAGCUUCUAGUGAGAAAACAACGGCCCGUACCGCAAACCGACACAGGUAGUCGAGGAGAGAAUCCUAAGGUGAGCGAGAGAACUCUCGUUAAGGAACUCGGCAAAAUGACCCCGUAACUUCGGGAGAAGGGGUGCUGCUCUAACGAGCAGCCGCAGUGAAUAGGCCCAAGCGACUGUUUAUCAAAAACACAGGUCUCUGCAAAAUCGAAAGAUGACGUAUAGGGGCUGACGCCUGCCCGGUGCUGGAAGG
rnacentral:rRNA from 1 species